rnacentral:rRNA from 1 species
UACGUAGGGCGCAAGCGUUGUCCGGAAUUAUUGGGCGUAAAGAGCUCGUAGGCGGUCUGUCACGUCUGCCGUGAAAACCCGAGGCUUAACCUCGUGGCUUGCGGUGGAUACGGGCAGACUAGAGGUAGGUAGGGGAGAAUGGAAUUCCCGGUGUAGCGGUGAAAUGCGCAGAUAUCGGGAGGAACACCGGUGGCGAAGGCGGUUCUCUGGGCCUGUACUGACGCUGAGGAGCGAAAGCGUGGGGAGCGAACAGG